rnacentral:rRNA from 1 species
UACAGAGGUCUCAAGCGUUGUUCGGAUUCAUUGGGCGUAAAGGGUGUGUAGGUGGCGCGCUAAGUCGGGUGUGAAAUUUCGGAGACUUAACUGCGAAACUGCAUUCGAUACUGGCGUGCUUGAGGACUGGAGAGGAGACUGGAAUUCAUGGUGUAGCAGUGAAAUGCGUAGAGAUCAUGAGGAAGACCAGUGGCGAAGGCGGGUCUCUGGACAGUUCCUGACACUGAGACACGAAGGCCAGGGGAGCAAACGGG